CCAGGUUGAUUCUGCCUGACGUAGACGCUAUUCCCUAAGAUUAACCCAUGCAUGUUAUUGAUUUUUGAAAAAUGGACUGCUCAGUAAUACUCACUUUAUUUUAUGUGUACUUAUUAUAACUACGUUAAAGUGUAGAUAAAAUGUAUACAGUAAGAGUGAGACCUAUCAGCUAGUUGUUAAGGUAAUGGCUUAACAAGGCAGUGACGGGUAACGGUAUUACUUUGUAAUAUUCCGGAGAAGGAGCCUGAGAGACGGCUACUAAGUCUAAGGAUUGCAGCAGGGGCGAAACUUGACCUAUGGAUUUUAUCUGAGGCAGUUAUGGGAAGUAAUAUUAUAUUGUUUCAUAUUUUAAAAGUAUAUGAGGUGAUUAAUUGGAGGGCAAAUCAAGUGCCAGCAGCCGCGGUAAUACUUGUUCCAAGAGUGUGUAUGAUGAUUGAUGCAGUUAAAAAGUCCGUAGUUUAUUUUUAAGAAGCAAUAUGAGGUGUACUGUAUAGUUGGGAGAGAGAUGAAAUGUGACGACCCUGACUGGACGAACA
rnacentral:rRNA from 1 species